UUUACCUUCUUGUAUAAGCACUGUGCUAAAAUUGCAGACACUAGGACUAUGUCUUGGUUUUUGCAAUAAUGCUAGCAGAGUACACACAAGAAGAAAAGUAACAGCA
ensembl:miRNA